CGUCAUCGCCCCGCUCCAGAACCAAAGCGCCUUCGUCUCAGUUGCUUCACGGACUCAUUCAGCGGAGAACAGAACUGACUGACCCGGAUCUACCUACUAACCAAAGAAAUAUCCAGUUUGUGUUUAAUAAAUGGUUAAAUCUUU